rnacentral:tRNA from 1 species
UGGCUCAGACGGUAAAGCAUCUGUCUACAAAGCAGGAGACCUGGGUUCGAGCCCUG